rnacentral:rRNA from 1 species
AGAAUCAACGCUGGCGGCGUGCCUAACACAUGCAAGUCGAACGCGAAAGUGGAGCAAUCCAUGAGUAGAGUGGCAAACGGGUGAGUAACGCGUGGGUGAUUUGCCUCAGGGUGGGGGAUAACCUUCCGAAAGGGGGCUAAUACCGCAUGACAUAGCGCUCUUAGAUGAGCGUAUAUCAAAGCUGGAACCGCAAGGUCUGGCGCCUGGAGAGAAGCCCGCGUCCGAUUAGCUAGUUGGUGAGGUAAUGGCUCACCAAGGCGACGAUCGGUA